GGGGAUACACUUAGAGUCCCCUGCAUGAGGGUGUUAAUAGCGCUUGUCGAAAAGGCCAGACGGCGUGGUUAGUGAAUC
ncrna:unclassified sequences L13-Bacteroidia ribosomal protein leader